CCGGUAAACGGCGGCCGUAACUAUAACGGUCCUAAGGUAGCGAAAUUCCUUGUCGGGUAAGUUCCGACCUGCACGAAUGGCGUAAUGAUGGCCAGGCUGUCUCCACCCGAGACUCAGUGAAAUUGAACUCGCUGUGAAGAUGCAGUGUACCCGCGGCAAGACGGAAAGACCCCGUGAACCUUUACUAUAGCUUGACACUGAACAUUGAGCCUUGAUGUGUAGGAUAGGUGGGAGGCUUUGAAGUGUGGACGCCAGUCUGCAUGGAGCCGACCUUGAAAUACCACCCUUUAAUGUUUGAUGUUCUAACGUUGACCCGUAAUCCGGGUUGCGGACAGUGUCUGGUGGGUAGUUUGACUGGGGCGGUCUCCUCCUAAAGAGUAACGGAGGAGCACGAAGGUUGGCUAAUCCUGGUCGGACAUCAGGAGGUUAGUGCAAUGGCAUAAGCCAGCUUGACUGCGAGCGUGACGGCGCGAGCAGGUGCGAAAGCAGGUCAUAGUGAUCCGGUGGUUCUGAAUGGAAGGGCCAUCGCUCAACGGAUAAAAGGUACU
rnacentral:rRNA from 1 species